UACGUAGGGUGCGAGCGUUGUCCGGAAUUAUUGGGCGUAAAGGGCGCGUAGGCGGCCUGGCAAGUGGAAGGUGAAAUCCCUCGGCUUAACCGAGGAACUGCCCUCCAAACUGCUUGGCUUGAGUCCGGGAGAGGUGAGUGGAAUUCCCAGUGUAGCGGUGAAAUGCGUAGAUAUUGGGAGGAACACCAGUGGCGAAGGCGGCUCACUGGGACGGUACUGACGCUGAGACGCGAAAGCGUGGGGAGCGAACAGG
rnacentral:rRNA from 1 species